rnacentral:rRNA from 1 species
UGGGGAAUAUUGCACAAUGGGCGCAAGCCUGAUGCAGCGACGCCGCGUGGGGGAUGAAGGCCUUCGGGUUGUAAACUCCUUUCAUCAUCGACGAAGGGCUCACUUGUUGUGGGUUUGACGGUAGGUGGAGAAGAAGCACCGGCUAACUACGUGCCAGCAGCCGCGGUAAUACGUAGGGUGCGAGCGUUGUCCGGAAUUACUGGGCGUAAAGAGCUCGUAGGUGGUUUGUCGCGUCGUCUGUGAAAUUCCGGGGCUUAACUCCGGGCGUGCAGGCGAUACGGGCAUAACUUGAGUGCUGUAGGGGAGACUGGAAUUCCUGGUGUAGCGGUGAAAUGCGCAGAUAUCAGGAGGAACACCGAUGGCGAAGGCAGGUCUCUGGGCAGUAACUGACGCUGAGGAGCGAAAGCAUGGGGAGCAAACAGG